AACUUUUAAUAACAGAUCUCUUGGUUCCAGCAUUAAUGAAGAAUGCAGCAAAAUGCAAUAAGUAAUGUGAAUUACAGAAUUUCAUGAAUUAUCAAAUCUUUAAACACAUAUUAUAUUCUCUGGUAUUCUGGAGAGCAUGCUUGUUCAAAUGUUA
rnacentral:rRNA from 1 species